UCCGCGCGCGACCUCGCA
rnacentral:misc_RNA from 1 species